rnacentral:rRNA from 1 species
UACAGAGGUCGCAAGCGUUAAUCGGAUUUACUGGGCGUAAAGCGUGUGUAGGUGGUUGUACAAGUCGGUUGUGAAAUCCCCGGGCUCAACCUGGGAACUGCUUCCGAGACUGUGCGACUAGAGAUCGGUAGAGGGCGGUGGAAUUUCCGGUGUAGCGGUGAAAUGCGUAGAUAUCGGAAGGAACAUCAGUGGCGAAAGCGACUUCCUGGACCAGUACCGACGUUCAGGCACGAAAGCGUGGGGAGCAAACAGG